UUGCAUGAAUAGCAACAGUAUAAGUCAACAAUUGAUUGUUUGUUAAAUCUGUAGUUUCUUGUCUCUUUCUAGGUUUUGAAACAGUCAGCACAGGAAAUAACCAAUCAUCCAAAUGUCGGUUGCUAUAUCUAUGGUUUAUUUGUCGAAGGUGCCAGAUGGUCUGGAGAUGAACACUGUUUGGUUGAAAGUAGACCUAAGGAACUUUUCACAGAUAUGGCUACCAUCUGGUUGAUCCCUAUGUCUAACAAACCGCCAUUGCUGUCUGGUAUAUACGAAUGCCCUGUAUAUAAAACACUCACCAGAGCAGGAACUUUGUCUACGACUGGUCACUCAACUAACUUUGUAUUUACAAUUGAAAUCCCAAGUAAUGAAAAACAAAGUUACUGGGUGAAGCGAGGUGUGGCCUUGCUGUGUGCAUUGAAUUAUUAAUCUUAUCAUUUGAAUAUAUCAGAAAUAAAAUUGUUUCAUUAUUCUACUAA